GCGCCCCCGCCGCUCCAGCGCACGUCAGACUCAGCGCCCUUCCUCGAGGGGCGCCGCCCUCUGACCCCACCCGGAGAGCGCCCGCUUCUCAGGACCCGCGUGGACACGCAGGACCUCCUCCCGACCUCAAGGCCCCUAACCGCACCCCGUCCUCCAAAGACAAGCACAAGAAAAGCCAGACUGGAAGUCAUCACGGGAGGGAAGAGAGUUUUGAGCUGAAGAAAACACUCUGACUUGAAUUCUCUUCUUUGUGGAGAACUGACAGCAGCCUCUGUGUGGAUCGGACCCAGAAAGCUGCCACGUGCCGGCGGGUGGAACAGCCACGCCCGUGCCCGCAGAGAAGGGGGCGCAGGCUGACUGCGUCGGGCUCUUACAGGCGCUGGAGCCAAAUUAGGACUUAUCAGCACGUUCAUUAUCUAAAAAUAAACCAGCUUUUCUUUGCUUCAUCAAAAGAUCAGAUUAUAGAGUACGCCGCCUUACUUGCAGAAUAAAGUGUUUUUAUUCUUAGACA